rnacentral:rRNA from 1 species
AUGAGGGGAUCUGCCGGCGGCGGCAACAAGGCCGGUGGCGCCAAAGCCUUGAUCCAAAUGGACUGGACGGCGACGUUCGAGGGGUCUCCAUCGUCGACCAUCGCCGGCGGCCAUGGUUCGGCGAAGAAGGACCCCAAGACGCCGACCUCUGGCGAUCCGUCGAGCGCGCAGCCAUCGAAGAGCGCCGCCCCGGCCCCGUCCCCGGCCGAGGGCAAUUCGUCGACCAAGCCCCCGCGGCCGGCCAAGGGUAGCUCCCGGCAGCCCGCCCGUGGAGGCGGGCGUGCGAAAAAGGAGGCGCCGGCCGCACCGCCCCCUUGUCCUUGGACGGCCAGCUUUGAGGGCAAAACCAAUCUGGACACCUUUGGCUGCGAUCUCACGGCGGCGGCGGCGAACGCUGACCCCGUCGUCGGCCGCGAGGAUGAGAUCGACCGCGUGGUGUGCAUCCUCUCCCGCAAGUCCAAGAACAGCGCCGUGCUGGUGGGCGCGGCCGGCGUCGGCAAGACGGCCAUCGCCGAGGGCCUCGCGCAGCGCAUCGCCCGCGGCGAGGUGUCCGGGGUCCUGGCCGGCGCGCGCGUCGUGGAGAUCAACGUCGCCGCGAUGGUCUCCGGCACGAGGGCCCUUGGCACGUUCGAGGAGCGGUUCACCGGCCUGAUCGCCGAGGUGGAGGCCGCGGCGGCCGGGAAGGUCGUCUUGUUCAUAGACGAGAUACACACGCUGCUCGGCGCCGGCCGCUUUUCUGGCUGCAUGGACGCGUCCAACAUGCUGAAGCCGGCGCUGGCUAGGGGCCGCGUCCGGUGCCUCGGCGCCACGACGCACGCCGAGUACCACCACUACUUUCUCCAGGACAAGGCGCUGGAGCGGCGGUUCCAGAAGGUGCACGUCUCGGAGCCCAGCGAGGAGGGAGCCGUGGCCAUCCUCCGGCGGCUCAAGCCGGCGUACGAGGAGCACCACGGCAUGGAGAUCCAGGACGAGGCGCUCGUCGCCGCCGCCAAAGCUUUCGGGCCGCUAUAUCCCAGCACGACAUUUCCCGGACAAGGCGAUCGAUCUUGUUGA